CGUGUAGGCGGCUUGACAAGUCAGAAUGUGAAAUCCCUGGGCUUAACCCAGGAAGUGCAUUUGAAACUGUUUGGCUGGAGUAAGGGAGAGGAAAGUGGAAUUCCUGGUGUAGAGGUGAAAUUCGUAGAUAUCAGGAGGAACACCGGUGGCGAAGGCGACUUUCUGGCCCUAUACUGACGCUGAGACGCGAAAGCGUGGGUAGCAAACAG
rnacentral:rRNA from 1 species